rnacentral:rRNA from 1 species
UCAGGAUGAACGCUAGCGACAGGCUUAACACAUGCAAGUCGAGGGGCAGCAUAGAAGUAGCAAUACGUUGGUGGCGACCGGCGCACGGGUGAGUAACGCGUAUGCAACCUACCUAUCAGGAGGGGAAUAAUCCGGCGAAAGUCGGACUAAUACCGCAGUAAAACAGGGGCACCGCAUGGUGAUAUUUGUUAAAGAAAUUCGCUGAUAGAUGGGCAUGCGUUCCAUUAGGUAGUUGGUGAGGUAACGGCUCACCAAGCCGACGAUGGAUAGGGGAACUGAGAGGUUGGUCCCCCACACUGGUACUGAGACACGGACCAGACUCCUACGGGAGGCAGCAGUGAGGAAUAUUGGUCAAUGGGCGGGAGCCUGAACCAACCAAGUCGCGUGGAAAAGGAAGAAGGAUCUAUGGUUCGUAAACUUCUUUUGCAGGGGAAUAAAGUGCAGGACGUGUCCUGUUUUGUAUGUACCCUGAGAAUAAGGAUCGGCUAACUCCGUGCCAGCCGCUGC